rnacentral:rRNA from 1 species
UGGGGAAUAUUGCACAAUGGAGGGAACUCUGAUGCAGCGACGCCGCGUGAGUGAUGAAGGAAUUCGUUUCGUAAAAUUCUGCUCUAUGGGAAGAAAAGGACUGUACCAUAGGAGAAAGCUCCGGCUAAAUACGUGCCAGCAGCCGCGGUAAUACGUAUGGAGCGAGCGUUGUCCGGAAUUAUUGGGCGUAAAGGGUGCGCAGGCGGCUUUACAAGUUGGAUGUGAAAUAUUGUGGCUCAACCACAAACGUGCAUCCAAAACUGCAAAGCUUGAGUUAAGGAGAGGUAAGUGGAAUUCCUGGUGUAGCGGUGGAAUGCGUAGAUAUCAGGAGGAAUACCGGUGGCGAAGGCGACUUACUGGACUUAAACUGACGCUCAGGCACGAAAGCGUGGGGAGCAAACAGG